rnacentral:rRNA from 1 species
CCAAUAGCGUAUAUUAAAGUUGUUGCAGUUAAAAAGCUCGUAGUUGAACUUCGGGGUCUACCCAUUGGUCAGGCUUAAUUGUCUGUACUGGUGAGAUAAAUCUCUACCUUCUGAGGAACUUUCAUGCCAUUUAUUUGGUGUGAUUGGAAAUCAGGACUGUUACUUUGAAAAAAUUAGAGUGUUUAAAGCAGACUAUCGUCUGAAUACAUUAGCAUGGAAUAAUGAAAUAGGACGGACUGAUUCUAUUUCGUUGGUUUCUAGGAUCACCGUAAUGAUUAAUAGGGAUAGUUGGGGGCAUUAGUAUUCAAUUGUCAGAGGUGAAAUUCUUGGAUUUAUUGAAGACUAACUACUGCGAAAGCAUUUGCCAAGGAUGUUUUCAUUAAUCAAGAACGAAAGUUAGGGGAUCGAAGACGAUCAGAUACCGUCGUAGUCUUAACCAUAAACUAUGCCGACUAGGGAUCGGACGAAGUUAAUUUUAUAAUGACGCGUUCGGCACCUUACG